rnacentral:lncRNA from 1 species
UUGAUACUGAUUUUUGUGGGAAAAAAAGUACACUCACUGAAGGAGCCGUGCUUAUUACAGGUAAACAGCACAUAUCCGUAUAGUCAGCGUGUGCUAUUGGGCAAAGUGAACUGUAAGAACACAGUGUAAGUAACUCUUUGAGAUUUGUGGAUGAGCAGGUGUGGUUUAAGGCUUGAAUUGUACCUCAGCUUUGUAUGCUUUGUGUACAUGACUGAGUUUGAGCCUUGUCUGAGGAAGCUAAGGAGCUCAUUUCACAUCAGUCUUGAAGCAAAGGGAUUCUCAGAACACGCAGAGCUAAUCACAGCAGGGUCAUAGGAGGCAGAUACGUUUGCAGGACUGAUGCAGAGCUCCAUUGCUCGAGGUGGAUCCUGAGGAAUAGUUGCUAUUUAUUGCAGCCCAAUGUAUUGGAAUUCAAAACCAAGGAGAUCGAUCAUCCUCGCAUCAGAUCUGAGGUUUGGUACAUAGUAUGCAUUUUUUGCAGUGUGGUGGAACAAAGCAAUUAUUUCACAGCUGAAGGAAAACCAGAAGAUAUUUAAAAAUGGAAAGUUCCCUUCCCAAGCCAUAAUGGAUGACGACGGUAGUAGAAGUAAUAUAUUCAGAGGGACCAAAACAGGAUAACAAUUUUUCAGAAGCUGAAGAAAUAUAUGAGGGAAGAAGAGAGAUUGAUACAGCAGCAUUGGAACCAGCUUUGUCCUUGGAUUGCAAGGGAAUGGAGAAAUGAGGUGUCUUCACAGAUCUUUCUUAUGUGACCAAGUGGCAGAAAAUGCUGCAGAAAUCUACUUCAGACAAUGCAGAGUGCUAAAUUAAAGAGAAAAAGAUGAUACUGAGCUACCUGUCCAAACACUUUAGGCAAAAAAAGCUAAGCAAUCCUUCCACGAGACAGGAAGAAGGAAGAAGGGACAUAAUCCUGAGAGAGCCGAAUGAAUAUAUAUGUUUGCAAUUUCCCUUGAAAUCUGCACAGAAAAUAGGAGUCAACCAUAAAUUCAAAUAAAUCACUGCAAAGACUCACUGACAGAUUCUUUCCAUGCACCUAACGCAGCAAUUACAGAGUCUGGUAAAACUGAGACAGAAAUUGAAAACAGGUUAUUCAUAAAGAAACAAGACGAACCUGCCAGAAUCCUGCUGAUCUAUCAAGCUAAAGAAAAUACUGGACAUCAGCUGCCUCUUAUAGAAAUUCUUCUCUAGUCUGUGAUUCCAUGAAACUGCUUCAUCUGCACACUGCUCAACAGAUCGAAGCUCAGCUUCCGUACUUGGAAGCUUCUGAUGCUUUUGACUUAUUUCCUGGAGAAGCAAUAAACUUGGAGAGCCAUGUUCUUGUUCCUAAUUAUAUAAGAAUUUUACUGCAGGAUGUGGCAAGAAUAUU